rnacentral:lncRNA from 1 species
GGCUGUGUACUGUAUACUUUAUUGACGGUACAAUGCAAGGUGGAGCUCCACACGCCCCUCCUUUUCUUCAAGGACUCUUGGAUGGAAACUGUGGAGGUCAAGAGAUAUUCAGUGUGUUGAGGGAUGAGUUGGGGCAAAGACUCCCCUGCAUCUGAGAGCCUUUCUCUUCCUGUUGCUCUUGCUGGGGCUGGUGGUCCAGGGGGCUCUUACUCCUUGAAGGCCAUGUGGGCAACAAUGUCUACCACCCAGUCACUGUAGCCAAAUUCAUCAUCAUACCAGGAAAUGAGCUUGACAAAGUAGUCACUGAAAGCAAGGCCAGCCCCAGCAUCAAAGGUGGAAGAGUGCAUGUCACUAUUAAAGUUGAUACUCGGUGUAGCCCAGGAUGCCCUUCAAAGGGCCUUCUAAUGCCUGCUUCACAACCUUCUUGAUGUCAUAUUUGGCAAGU